rnacentral:rRNA from 1 species
UACAGAGGGUGCGAGCGUUAAUCGGAAUUACUGGGCGUAAAGCGUGCGUAGACGGUUAUUUAAGUCGGGUGUGAAAGCCCCGGGCUCAACCUGGGAAUUGCAUUCGAGACUGAAUAGCUAGGGUACGGUAGAGGGAAGUGGAAUUUCCGGUGUAGCGGUGAAAUGCGUAGAUAUCUGGAGGAACACCGGUGGCGAAGGCGACAUCCUGGACCGGUAUUGACGCUGAGGCGCGAAAGCCAGGGGAGCAAACGGG